rnacentral:lncRNA from 1 species
GUUGUAUAGUGGAAAAUGUUUGGGUCAUUUAUGCGCAACUUUGUUACAUUUUGACCGAAGAGAUUUGACCUUUCUGUAAGGGGCAUAACUCUUGUUUUAGGUUUCGGAAAAGGCAAAAUAAGCUUUUACUAUAUGACCAAAGGUCCUAGACCCAUGGGGUCUUCAGCAAUGACAUUGGGGACCAAUGACCUUGAUAAAGGUCAAAAGGUCAAAUGUCAAGGUCAUG